ACGAACGCUGGCGGCGUGCCUAAUACAUGCAAGUAGAACGCUGAAGGCGGAGCCUGCUUCUCCGGAUGAGUUGCGAACGGGUGAGUAACGCGUAGGUAACCUGCCUGGUAGCGGGGGAUAACUAUUGGAAACGAUAGCUAAUACCGCAUAACAGUAGAUGUUGCAUGACAUUUGCUUAAAAGGUGCAAUUGCAUCACUACCAGAUGGACCUGCGUUGUAUUAGCUAGUUGGUGAGGUAACGGCUCACCAAGGCGACGAUACAUAGCCGACCUGAGAGGGUGAUCGGCCACGCUGGGACUGAGACACGGCCCAGACUCCUACGGGAGGCAGCCGUAGGGAAUCUUCGGCAAUGGACGGAAGUCUGACCGAGCAACGCCGCGUGAGUGAAGAAGGUUUUCGGAUCGUAAAGCUCUGUUGUAAGAGAAGAACGAGUGUGAGAGUGGAAAGUUCACACUGUGACGGUAACUUGCCAGAAAGGGACGGCUAACUACGUG
rnacentral:rRNA from 1 species